UACAGAGGGGGCAAGCGUUAUUCGGAAUUAUUGGGCGUAAAGGGCGCGUAGGCGGCGAUUCAAGUGACGGGUGAAAUCCCUCGGCUUAACCGAGGAACUGCCUGUCAGACUGGAUUGCUUGAGUCCGGGAGAGGCGAGUGGAAUUCCCAGUGUAGCGGUGAAAUGCGUAGAUAUUGGGAGGAACACCAGUGGCGAAGGCGGCUCGCUGGACCGGAACUGACACUGAGGCGCGGAAAGCCAGGGGAGCAAACGGG
rnacentral:rRNA from 1 species